UACGUAGGAGACGAGCGUUGUCCGGAAUACUGGGCGUAAGGCGCGUGUAGGCGGAUGGGCAAGUCUGCUGUGAAAGCUCCUGGCUUAACCGGGAGUGGUCGGUGGAAACUGCCAAUCUGGAGGACGGUAGAGGUAGGUAGAAUUCCCGGUGUAGUGGUGAAAUGCGUAGAGAUCGGGAGGAAUACCUGUGGCGAAGGCGGCCUACUGGGCCGGACCUGACGCUGAGACGCGAAGGCGUGGGGAGCGAACGGG
rnacentral:rRNA from 1 species